rnacentral:misc_RNA from 1 species
GGAUUUCAUUCGGACUUUUUCUAGGGAGGCGUGUGCUCCUAUCAUGCAUACUGGGGCCCCCCGCCGACCCAUCUUCUCAUGGACCCCACAUUCCUCCAUUGCUAGCGUCCCUCUCCUUCCAUCUCUAGUGAUCUCCUCUAUAAAUUCAUGCGUGACCCAAGUGCAGAGCUAUAGCCAUUCGCACUAUAACCUUCCAGAUUUCCAAGUUUU